GAAUGCAACCAGUUGCGUUACAGCUGCAAAAAAUGCAUCUAUUUAUUUUCAGCAGAUUUGGUUGUAUUGCAAGUGUAUCUGAAGGGAUAUUUGGUAUAAACACAUCCUCAUUUGUAAGCUCAUCAGUCAAGCACUGAGUGUCCUCUGAGCAUAGACCACUUAAGCAGUCAAGUUACUCACUCUGCAAUCCUUCAGACAGACUGAGUGGCCUUUGGGAUGUUUUAAUGGUGACUUGAGCUAUCACUCAGAAUAACUCUCACUGUAUCUUAAGUUGCACCUGUUGCAUGAACUGCUUUAAAAUACCAGACUUGACAGACGGUAAACACAGGCUGCAAUGACUUUUCAUCCUGGGCGCCCAAACAACUUUUACCCAGCAACAUGUUUUGUUCUGAAGCCAGGCCACUUAGGCCUCUUGAUAGCCGCUAUUAAUACGUACCACCGCUCGGACUGAGGUGACUCAUGUUUCUGUGAAGCCUCACCGAAAUUCAUGAUCAUUUUGAUCCCGGUGCACUGUGGUGGCACAGGCAACACAACCCUGUUGACCCCAUACUGCAUAGAGACAAGGGUAAUGAGAUUAGCUGUGCAUGAGUGUGACCGCCGUUUGUGACGUGUCCUCUCCAGAUUGUGCGUGCACAGCUUUCAGACUCUGCAGUUCAUGUGACAAAAUCACCGCAGUUAGGAGAGCGAGGAUUACUGGGCGGGGUGAUUGAGUUCACAGAGCGGCGAGCUCAGGGCAAGAGUUAGGCACCAUGAGCUUGUGCCAAAGGAAAUGACAUUAAAUGUCAGGGAUUUCUGACUGUUUCCAGAAUGAACUUCCUGCCUCUUGAUGAUAUUUGGAUUUUCUACAUUUCCUGGAUAAGGGCUAUGAACUCAUUGCUCUUGCUGAAGGUUGGGAAUACAGACAUAUUAGUAUAGUCAGCGUGCCAACUUGUUUUGAACAGAGGGGUGUGUCUACCACUUAGUCAAAAUGCAGCAAGUCUUGUGACUACAAUGUACUGUGGUCUGUUGGAAAUUUUGAAGGUUUGCCUCUUACACUGUUUUAUACAUAUGUCAGUGUUGCUUAUGAAUAUAAUUUAAAAUAGCAGGUUAAGAAAGAAGUUUUUUUUUUCUUUAAUUCAGCAUAGACUAAUGUUAAGUGUUAAAUAGCUGAAAACCAUGGUAUCAGACUUAGUAGUUGUGAUUUGAAACAGUUCAUUGAUAAAUUGAUUAGUCAGUCAACAGACUAUUAAUUAACCAAAAAUUCUCUAGGUCCAGCUGCUCAGUUGUGUAUUUAAUGACAUUUGGUAGCACAAACAAAGAGACAAUUAUUAUUUGAAUAACAAAAAUCUAAUUGUGAGGCUAACAAUUAUCUGUGUGGCAUCAGAUCUGCUGUGUUUGGACAUAUAUACAGGAGCAAGAAUAAUACCUGAAGAAGACCAUCUGUGGUUCAAAUGUCAGUCAUGUCCACAUAAAAUAAAAGAAGAGCUGUGAACAAGACUGACGUAUUUUUCAUCAUUCAUGUUCAUGUAAUUGCUAUCCAGCACCUGCAAAGAAUUAGUAGAUGUAUGAGUGCUAUAAAGAGCUAUUUUAACAGCAUCAGGUAUUUAAGGGUUUUUCUUAAGUUAAGAUAAACUUAAUUGAUCUUUCAAACAACUUGAAUCUUGAUAGCGUGAGAUGACCAGGGCUGUUGUGGGUCUUCAGAGGAGUAGCUGGCUACAGUACAUGUAUGGACCACUGACAGGGGCUCCACACAGAAUGUCUCUGGAAGCACCACAAAGGUUUUGCCCUCAACACCCACCCGUCUGGCAGCUCCAGACACAGAGUCAAGGACAAAGACACAACUAUGAUUCCGCUUGUUAAAUCAAAUCACUUCUGUCGACUUGAUGCUAAACUGUUCAGGAGAGACUUCUGCUCAGACUCAGUGCUUUGAUUAAUUACACGCUGACCACUGGAUCAGAGCAGUUGCACCAGAUUCAGCUGUAUUUAGCUUUGUUUCAUCUGUGGGCAUGAUUGUCAGCGUUGUGUAUGUCAGGCAGGCAUUUCAUACAGCAUCAUAACAGAAUUUCCUGAGUGAGUGUAAGGAGAAAAAAGGACUGAAGGCAUGGGAUGGUUUUGUGUUUCCACAAGGACGACCUCAUGCCCAUGUUCUCAUCUAUUUGAGUGCUCAAGGAAUGCACGCUCCUUUGUUUUGGUUAUGUCAUGCCCUCAUUUUCAGGACUUGCACAAAUAACUUGUCAAAAUGCUCCACUGUAUGUUACAUUUAUACAAUUAAUCAUACUGUAUUUAAAACAUUCAAAACUGAUCUGACAUAGCUUUGUUCCACUUGCAAUGAUACAUGUGAUUUACGUCAUUGGAUUUAUUUAUUUCUAAAAUAUUAUGUAUCGUAAUAUUUGUGAAGUUCACAUUUUCAUUUAACAUGCAUGCAAUGUCAUGCCAUAUGCACAAAUCAAUACUGACCUUGAAAAAUUGGAAGACUUGUUUUUUUCCCUAGGACAGCUGCUCUUGGUCCCCACCCACUCCAGCACCACACAAGUUUUUUUCAUAUUUGAUCCAAAGUCACUCCAGCUAUUGUGUGACGGACCCUGAAUGCACACAUCCUUACCCUAGUUCUAUACUUUGCUUCACACAAUGAAUCUCUUAUCCUGCUCGAUCAAGAGUCCAGACACAACAUGUUUGCAAAUGCAAAACCAUUUGAUAUUUAGAUUAAGGAUUACAACUUACUUGUCUCAUUGCCUUCCCUCAAAUUCAAUGGAGUUUACCAUCAUCCAUAAGCAUGUGAAUUCCAGCUGUGGGGUAAAGCGAUGAGGUCGGCUCUGACUGGGGUGAGAUGUUUUGCUUGAAUGCUCCUUGACCUAAGACUGUCUGGAGGCUCUUUGCACACUAAGCCAUGCUUAUUUGUAAACAGAAUGCUUUGCUGAAGUUCUCCACGCUCACCCUCCACCCUCUGAAAAGGGCCACUUUGCACAAAGAGACCAUUCUCAUUGGUGUUUGGACCUCAUUUCUACUUUCUAUACUCCAGAUUUGUUGUGGAGGCCUUCAUUUGCUUUGGAUUGAAAAAAUGCAACUGCGUUUUUUGGAAAAAGCAUUCCUUUAUCAGUAAAUUGAGCAUUGAGCAUUCGGAGUGAAUGACAUGAAGGUGAUGUUUGAUCUCAGUAGUUUUUUUGUGCCCAGACCACCAACCUCACUAACAAUACACCCCUUAAAAUGCUGCAUGAAAUCAAACAAGUCUGUAAACCAAAACUGGCAGUAGACCUCAAACUCUUGGCUGUCGCUAACUUUCUCACAUUCUCCCUUGUGCUAGUCUGUUAACUUUCAGAGCUACCUCCUUAGGAAAACGUGUUCAUUAAAUUCCCAGCAGGAGUCUCUACGUGGGCUUCACCCUGUCAUUGACAGAUACAUGAAUGACUCAAUAUGCGUCUGGAUUUGUAACCUGCGAGGACUUAAGAAAAAGCCGGGGAGACAAUGGCAACUGAGGCAAAGCUGCAGAGCCUUCAGUCUAAACAAAAUCUCAUUGUUCCUGUUUUCCAUAGUUAGGGGGUUAGGCAUUCCCCUGCCCACCCCCACCCCCCACCCCAUAAGACUCCCAGAACCUCAGUCCGCUGUCCCGCCCCAGUCUCUGUACUCCACUAGUCCUGAGUGCUGUGAGUGAGGCUAGUAAUUAAACAGGGCUGCCUCUCAGUUUCUGCAGCUCCAUGGGGGGAGUCCCUUCAUGAAAUGUACUCCUCAUUCUGAGUCCAGACGGCAGCUGAUGAGGGAUUAUCUGCUGGCAGAGGCAUGGCAUAUUCCCCACCAUAAUCUUCAAUUAGUUCAGUUCACGGUGAUGUGUUGGGUGGACCUGCCACUACCUUUCCCACGGCUUCUUCAUAAACACCACACCAAUGUCUUGAAUAAUAUACUGUAUCACUUGGGUUUUUCAUACACAAAGUGUUGGAUUGGUAAAGGAAAUUAGCUUGGACUUCCAUCAUUUUAUUUUGGAAAAAGACUAAUACACCCCAGACUAAGAACAAUAGGUUUAAGGUAAAUCUAGAAUUUGUAACUCAAGAUAAUUUUUUGCUUAAUUACCUUUUUUUUUUAAUAAUGGUACUUUGCAUAAAAUGAUACAUUAAAACAUGUUGGAUGAUGAUUUUGAUGUCAAUCACUGCUUUCAGUGUCACAUUAAUUUAAUUGGUUUAUCCUGUUGGAAAAUUUUUGAUGUGGCAUACAAUGGCAUUGUACUCUUCCUUUUGUCCAGUUUCACCUCCAACCAUUCUCCAAUCAUUCCACUUCAAAGUAUGUUUGACAAAGUGGUGAAGCAGGAGUUUACCCCAUAGCUCAUAUUGGUCCUUUUAUUUAUUCACAGAUGUGUGUUUGUAGUUGGAACUUUAAAAUCAAGUUUAUUUAUUUAUUUAGUCAUUUAUUAUAAGCAAGAAGAAGGUAAUCUGACAGCCAAUGCUAUAUGAGCCAAAAUUUGGUUGCAAAUCUUGUGGCUCUAUCAUUAGUGACUUACUGUGGAAAGAGUACAUUUAGCAGUUGCCAAUGAGGUAUUUACAAAGAAAUAAGAUAAAACAAGACUUAAAAUUGGAAAAAGACAGGGAAAUUAAACUUUUCCAGAUAUAGUGGCUUCAGAAGGUAUUCAGAUCCCAUCACUUUUUACUUUUUUUGUGUGUGUGUCACAGGUUUAAUUGUAAAUGGCUACAAUUACUAGUUUUGCUUGUUAACCUAUACCUGAUGACCAAUCACUCAUUCACAAAAGUAGUCAGACUAUGAAGUCACUACUUUGUAGAAGCCUCUUUGGUAGCAAUUACAGCUUUGAGUCUUAUUGGGUAAGUGUCUACAAGCUUUGCUCACCUGGAUUUGGGCAGUUUAUCUCAUUCUUUGUGGCAGAUCCUCUUAAACUCUGUCAGACUGGAUGUGAAGCAUCUGUGAACUGUCAUCUCCUGGUCUCUCUAUAGGUGUUCUGUGGGGUUUAAGUCUGGGUUUUAACUGUGCCAUUCAAAGACAGUUAGAAACCUGCCUCAAAGUCAGUCCAGUGUUUUCUUGGGUGUAAGCUCCAGGUUAUUGUCGCACUGAAAGAUGAAUCGUCACAUGCUCUCAGGAGCAUGUUUGUCAUUUGGAGUUCUGCCCAAACUUCGAUUUUUGUUUCAUCAGACCAAAGAAUCUUUUCUGCACUCCUUUAAAUAUGUUUUGUCAAAUCCAAGUGCACUGUCAUGUCAACACAGCUUACUUCUAGCCAGUCUUCUUGCCAUAAAGGCCUGAUUGAUGGAGUGCUGCUGGGAUGGUUGUCUUUGUGGCAGGUUCUCCCAUCUCUGAGGAGAACGUCUGAAGCUCUGUUAGAGUGAUUGUUGGCCCUUCUUGCCUAGUUACUUAGUUUGGCCAGACAACUAACCUUAGGAAGAGUCCUGGUGGUUCCAAACUUCUUCCAUUUCACAAUUUCUGAGGCCACACUUCUGAGGGAACACUCAAAACUUUAGAAAUUGUUUUGUACCCUUGGUCUGAUCUAUGCUUAGCCACAAUUCUAUUGCAGAGGAUUACAGCGAGUUCCUUGGACUUUAUGGCUUGGUUGUUGUCCUGACAUGCAAUGGAAAUUGUGGGACCUUAUAUAUGCAAGUGGGUGCCUUUCUAACCCAUGUCCAAUCAAUUCAAUUUGCCACAGGUGGACUCCAGUCAAGUUCCAGACAUCCCCCAGAAGAUUUAGGCAAACAGGAUGCACCUGACCACAAUUUGGAGUGCCACUGCACUGGGUCUGAAGACUUUUGUAAAUGAUAAAUUUUAGUUUUUAAUAAAUUUCUAAGAACAUGUUU